CAUUUGCUGCGUUUUAUAUUUUAUGGGUUUCAACAGCCUAUGUAAACCAUGAAUUAUAUGAGCCGAUGUUCUGAAUUGAGGCGUAGAUUUCAUCUAUCGCAGACGAAAGGCUUUAUGAAAUAAACACGGACGGAUAUAUGAUCCGAGAAGAUAAUUGGGGAACGUCACUCUAAAUUUGUAGAUCCUUCAUGCAUUAUAUACAAAAGCUGCUGUUAGACAAUAGUUAGAGCAAUGCGAGCCAGAGACAUAAGGACUGGAAUAGAAAACUUUAUUUAUGUGAACAUUAUGUGCGUGGCAUUCUCUUGAAGAAGAUGUAUGACUAUCUAGCUUCCUCUAUACACAUCUUGCUUAUACUUGCCUAUCUAGUUACAAAGGCAUGAUGGUCCAAUGCUGCAGAAGGCAGAGAACCAUUAUGGCAGAACAAGAUGAAACUAUUGCUCUCAUACAGGUUAUUUUUCACCUUCUGUCUGUUGAGGCGAAGCUAUGCCAAAAUGUACCCACCAAAUCUAGGAUCUACCACUAAGCAUGGGAAUGCUAGCACUAUUGGUACCAGCUGACAGUACUAUGCUUGGAGAGUUGAAUUCUAUGGUUUGCCAUGUAAAUGACUGAGACCAUGUCAUGUGGUGUAAGCCGUAUCAGGUUUGAUGCCUGCUCUAAUGGCUUCACAAUCAUGUUCUAUAUAAUGUGCCAUGCCUCUGGAACCGUUGUGUGAUAUCUGGUAAAGGUGGAACGGUGACCUUGGAGGCACCUAAGGCUGUUGGAGCUGGCUUAACAUUUCUGCAGACCAAUAAGGAUGGUUUGGUGUUAUUGCAGGCCAUGGAAUUUAGUUGGGCAUUAUUAUCAAUUUCUAGAUUGGGUUCAGCGGUAUUGCUGGUGAUAUAUUUGAACCUCUUACUGGGGUCAUUCCCAAAAUGCUCGAGCAUGAUUCGUUUCAAUAAUUUUAUUAAUUUCCAAUAAGGCUGCAUCAGAAACAAGCUGCUGUUGCAUGGCAUGCAUUUUAAUUUUUC